rnacentral:rRNA from 1 species
AGAGGGUGCGAGCGUUGUCCGGAAUCACUGGGCGUAAAGGGCGCGUAGGCGGCCUGGUAAGUAGGGGGUGAAAUCCCGUGGCUCAACUGCGGGACGGCCUCUUAGACUGCCUGGCUCGAGCACGGUAGAGGCAGGUGGAAUUCCCGGUGUAGCGAUGGAAUGCGUAGAGAUCGGGAAGAACAUCGGUGGCGAAGGCGGCCUGCUGGGCCGUUGCUGACGCUGAGGCGCGACAGCGUGGGGAGCAAACAGGAUUAGAUACCCUGGUAGUCCACGCCGUAAACGAUGGGUACUAGGCGCUGGGGGGAGCGACCCCUUCGGUGCCGUCGCUAACGCAGUAAGUACCCCGCCUGGGGAGUACGGCCGCAAGGCUG